CUCAGUGUUUCCUUACGCUGUGCUGAUCUGUUUUCUCAUCAGAGGGCUUAUGUUGGAUGGCACAAUAGAGGGCAACAAAAAUAUGUUUUACCUUAAGCUGGAGAUUUGAGGGGAAGUGCAGGUGUGGCGUCAGGCUGCUACACAGGUGUUCUUUUGCUCUGGGUCUGGGUUAUGGCUCUGUGAUCCAUAGGACACACAUUACUGUUCAAAGGUUUGAGUUUGUAGCUGUAUCCUGGGCCUCUUUAUUUGCCUGCUAUUCACUCAGAGAAGUGGCAACUAUUUCGUGACCAUGUUUGAUGACUAUUCUGCCACAUUGCCACUGAUCAUCAUUGUUGUUUUUGAAACUGUCAGCGUGGCAUGGAUUUGCGGUGC